AGCGUGUCUGACUCCGGUUCGAUACAGAUUCACGUACAAGGAUAGAGUGUGCGAUUCUUAAGAGUAGGAGAGACUCGGCCUGCCCAACACCAUAAGAAAAAAUAACAAAAGAAAGAGGAAGAAGAAUGUUACCCUCCUUAUACAAUACACGGACAAGGCCAGUGAAGGGACAUUGUGAUUUCCGUUCCCUUCUCGACAGCUGAUGGACACACACACACACACACACACACACACACACUCAAAACAAGCUCCAGCAAUUCAUCAUGUAAGACUGGCCAUGUAACGCAACACCACCAAGCCCCAAAGAUCAAACCCUGGCCCUCCAAGUAUGAGUCAGGGCAGCCGACCAACACAGCCACCGAUGAGCUGAAAGGUCACUGCACCAGAGGCCACUUCUGCAGCACUGUGCCUGAUGCCCCGGACCCAUGAAACCUUGUCUCUCGGCCGACCCAAGCCAUCAAGUGUGUGUCAGCGCAGAGACACACCAGGAACACAUGACAGCCCUUGGCCCCACCUCAGCGCUGCUCCUGUACUGCUACGUUGAAUUUUCUACUGAUGGAGAAGGGAAGAGAGAAGAGAGAAUCCUGUCUGACAAGUAUCUUCCUCCUCCCUUCUUCUCUUCUUUGCAACAAAUAGAUGAUGAAAUGAAGAGGAGGAGGAGGAGGAGGAGGAGGAUGGAGAGAAGAAGAAAAGAGGAGGAGGAGGAGGAGGAUGGAGAGAAGAAGA